rfam:Gossypium raimondii chromosome 6, whole genome shotgun sequence.
GGAUGCGAUCAUACUGGCACUAAUGCACCGGAUCCCAUUAGAACUCUACAGUUAAGCAAGCUUGGGUGAGGGUAGUACAAGGAUGUGUGACCUCCUGGAAACUCCUCGUGUUGCACCCC